rnacentral:rRNA from 1 species
GAUGAACGCUGGCGGCGUGCCUAAUACGUGCAAGUCGAGCGAACGGACGAGAAGCUUGCUUCUCUGAUGUUAGCGGCGGACGGGUGAGUAACACGUGGAUAACCUACAUAUAAGACUGGGAUAACUUCGGGAAACCGUAGCUAAUACCGGAUAAUAUUUUGAACCGCAUGGUUCAAAAGUGAAAGACGGUCUUGCUGUCACUUAUAGAUGGAUCCGCGCUGCAUUAGCUAGUUGGUAAGGUAACGGCUUACCAAGGCAACGAUGCAUAGCCGACCUGAGAGGGUGAUCGGCCACACUGGAACUGAGACACGGUCCAGACUCCUACGGGAGGCAGCAGUAGGGAAUCUUCCGCAAUGGGCGAAAGCCUGACGGAGCAACGCCGCGUGAGUGAUGAAGGUCUUCGGAUCGUAAAACUCUGUUAUUAGGGAAGAACAUAUGUGUAAGUAACUGUGCACAUCUUGACGGUACCUAAUCAGAAAGCCACGGCUAACUACGUG